UAGUCCACGCCGUAAACGAUGUCUACUAGCCGUUGGGGAGCUUGACUCCUUAGUGGCGAAGCUAACGCGAUAAGUAGACCGCCUGGGGAGUACGGUCGCAAGAUUAAAACUCAAAUGAAUUGACGGGGGCCCGCACAAGCGGUGGAGCAUGUGGUUUAAUUCGAUGCAACGCGAAAAACCUUACCAGGCCUUGACAUCCUGAGAACUUUCUAGAGAUAGAUUGGUGCCUUCGGGAACUCAGUGACAGGUGUUGCAUGGCUGUCGUCAGCUCGUGUCGUGAGAUGUUGGGUUAAGUCCCGUAACGAGCGCAACCCUUAUCCUUAUUUGCCAGCGGAUUAUGCCGGGAACUCUAAGGGGACUGACGGUGACAAACCGUAGGAAGGUGGGGACGACGUCAAGUCAUCAUGGCCCUUACGGGUGGGCUACAAACGUGCUACAAUGGGGAAUACAAAGGGCUGCCAACCAGCAAUGGUGCGCGAAUCCCAAAAAAGUUUCUCGUAGUCCGGAUUGGGGUCUGCAACUCGACCCCA
rnacentral:rRNA from 1 species